UACAGAGGAGCCAAGCGUUGUCCGGAUUGACUGGGCGUAAAGCGCACGCAGGCGGGUGCGCGCGUGGGGGGUGAAAUCUGGCCGCUUAACGGCCAGGCGCCAUCCCAUACGGCGCGCCUGGAGGGCUGCAGAGGUCGAUGGAAUUGCCGGUGUAGUGGUGAAAUGCGUAGAGAUCGGCAGGAACACCCAGGGGGAAACCAGUCGACUGGGCAGCACCUGACGCUGAGGUGCGAGAGCGUGCGGAGCGAACCGG
rnacentral:rRNA from 1 species